GAUCAUGGCUCAGAACGAACGCUGGCGGCGCGUUUAAGCAUGCAAGUCGAGCGGCAAGGGCCUUCGGGCCCUAGAGCGGCGGACGGGUGAGUAACACGUGGACAAUCUCGCCCCCCGGCCCGGGAUAGCCCAGGGAAACCUGGAUUAAUACCGGAUGAGACGGGACCCGCGAUGGCGGGACCGGAAGGCGCUGCGGCGCCGCCGGGGAUGAGUCUGCGUCCCAUUAGCUAGACGGCGGGGUAACGGCCCACCGUGGCGACGAUGGGUAGCCGGCCUGAGAGGGUGGACGGCCACAUUGGAACUGAGACACGGUCCAGACUCCUACGGGAGGCAGCAGCUAAGAAUCUUCCGCAAUGGGCGAAAGCCUGACGGAGCGACGCCGCGUGAACGAAGAAGGCCGUGAGGUUGUAAAGUUCUUUUCGGGAGGGGGAACAACCGUGGCAGGGAAUGGCCGCGGGAUGACGUGAAUCCCGGAAUAAGCCCCGGCUAACUACGUGCCAGCAGCUGC
rnacentral:rRNA from 1 species